AUGCUGCCCCUAGUGGCAGAGAUCUGCAAACACACACGACCACAGCACAGACAUCAUCCACAUUUUUUUUUUUUACAGAUGGAAGAUGAUUUAUUUCACAGCACACACAUUUUAAAGCUGGAGACGGGGUCCAUCAAGACCGUGGGAUCAUGUGUUUGCCGAAAGGAAGUCCUGGCUCUGCUCUGCAUGAAGACAAGCCCAGCUCAUGCACAGGCAGCCAUGUUCAUCUUUCCCUGGACAAGGGAAGGUGGAGGAAUUAAAAAUGGAAGCUCCAGGCAAGAGCUGCAAGUACUUCAUGGUUUCAGUCCUAGCAUCACACAUGAGAAAGAGGCCAACCUUGUUUUAUCAAUGAGGAACCUGAAACUCAAAGGGAUUCCUCCGUCCUUGGUUUCAUUUUGCUUAUGGACAUUCACUGAGUCAUUGGUCUGUGUGGGGACCUGUAUCAUUUUAUUAUGUAUAUGAUUUCACUCAGUCUUCCACGCUUGAGUGGCAGCUAGAACAACGUGGAAACUUCUACAGCCUAAGGGGACUUUUGUCUACCAGGCAACUUUAUCUAUUGAGAUAAACAUAGAACAGACAGCUCUCAGACACCUGGAGAUCAAACGUCACAUGGAAAGUUGACAUUCAAGCAAAUGGAGGCCCCCUCCCAACUGUCACAUGUUUGGGGCCACUCAGGUGGGAAGCAGAGGAGGUAGGAUUUGAACCGUGAUCCUCAGGACUCGAAGCCUCAUCUAUGGUGCUGUCUUGUCCUCUUUUUCAGAGAAGCAGUGGGGUCACAAAGAACUCCUACAAAAGCAGGCAUCCCCGAUCCAAACCCUGAGCUCCGGCAGGGGCUUCUAACCACUGUCACUAACUGGUUAGCUAAGGGCUAACGGCCACUACAACUUCUGUGACUCUCUGGAAAAGAGAAAUCAGCUGAAAAAGGUUCUGCAGUGUGAUCAGGACUCUUUUUUUUUUUUUUUUUUUUUUUUGACAGGCAGAGUGGACAGUGAGAGAGAGACAGAGAGAAAGGUCUUCCUUUUGCCGUUGGUUCACCCUCCAAUGGCCGCCGCGGCUGGCACGCUGCGGCCAGUGCACUGUGCUGAUCCGAUGGCAGGAGCCAGGUACUUAUCCUGGUCUCCCAUGGGGUGCAGGGCCCAAGCACUUGGACCAUCCUCCACUGCCUUCCCGGUCCACAGCAGAGAGCUGGCCUGGAAGAGGGGCAACCGGGACAGAAUCCGGCGCCCCGACCGGGACUAGAACCCUGUGUGCCGGGGCCGCAAGGUGGAGGAUUAGCCUAGUGAGCCCGGCGCCGGCCGCAAUCCGGACUCUUAACUGCAGGUGAUGGGAAUCCAGUCCCAGCCAGCUCCAACAGAAGUUUACGCGUAGGAGAGGGGAGGGGGCUUCCUGAUGGGCAGAGGAAGACAAGGAUGGGUCAAAGCAGAGCGGGGCGCACCGGUGCUGCCUCUGCAGAAGGGUAGCU
rnacentral:lncRNA from 1 species